AGGUACCGUAGGAAAAAGCUACAGUAGUAUCGUCGCGUCAGAUGAUUAGCUAAUAGUAAAAACACUGUAAAACGACUGGCAGUUCGCUUCUCUUUUCAGCAUUACGAACUGGUGGAAGUUGUCAGUAAUGUAUUUUGGUCCGUCAUUCACACUUUGAAGCCUCUCUCGCAGCGCUGAUAAUGCUGAAAAUGAAGCUACCGAUGAAAACGGGCGAGGAAGGAGGCGACGAAACGGCCGAGGACGACUCAUUGGAUCAGCCGGAGCACCAACAUAUUCCCAGGGCGGCACCUCCUUCCUCGGUGUCCGACGGACUGGAUGAGUCGCCCAGACCCGGUGUGUGUCCAUCCCAGCUGAACAAGGAGACUGUCUUCGAGUGGUUUGGCCUACAUCUAAACCCCGCUAAGCGGAUCGAGUUCAUGUGCGGACUGCUACAUAUGUGCCAAGCACUGGAGCUCCGCUUUUUGGGAUCUUACUUGGAGGAUCUUACAAGGAAAGAUUACCAUGUUUUAAGAGACUUCGAGUUCCGGGCGAAUAGUCCGAGCGAAUUGGGGCUUUUAACGGACGUGAUUGAUCCGGUUGUGAGGUCUAAACUCCUGGUCUGCCUGUCCCUCCUCGGGUCUGACAGCAGGGAAUGUGCUGGAAUACUCUUUCGGAUACUGAGCCAUGUAGACCCGGCCAUGUUCUACAAAAACUAUGACUACUCCCUUCAUCCAUUCAGGGACCCUCACCACCACUCGUUUCACCCGCCGUGUCAGGACGGGAGUGUGUACGGGCGGUCGGAGCAGACCUGCGGCUCGUCGGCUAACGAGCCAGCGGCAGGACCUCUGGAGCAGUUGGCGCUGCUCUUUACCAUGGCCUCUCUGCACCCAGCUCUGCAUUUCCACCAGCGGGAGAUGGUCCGAGGGCAGCUUGACAAAAUAGAGCUUGCCAUGGAGGAGGAGAGACGUCAGAAUCAGCUCAGAAUAAACGCCCAGAUAACGGAGCUGACGGGUCAGAAGGCAGAUUACCUGCUUUCCCCGCCGCUGGGGUUGGGGGAGUGUACGGCCCCCCAUCCUCCAUGUCAGAGCCGCCGCUCCAGCCGCUGGGCAACACAAAGAGAAGCAGUGCAUAUAGAGGGCAUCGUGCUCAGGGGCAUCUCUCGGACCAGAAUAGACAAGGAAUACAACUUUGAGGUGAAGUGGUCAGACUCCUCCUCAAGUUGUGUGACCAAAACCCAUCUGGAACUGGAGAAUUUUCUUCUUAAGCUUCCUAAGGAUCAGUGCACUGAGUCCUUUGAGAAGAGCAUCCUGAGGCUUCUGAACCAGGGGGACCGGAACGAGAGCAGGGAGGUGGAGAAGAACCUCAGGGAAAGGUUCCUGUCUGCUCCUCCUGUCUUCAGACAGACCAGGAAGGUCUGCAGCUUCUUCAAUUGUGACUCCAGUUACUCUACAAAACCUACAUGCUGCAGAUGCAACUGCCAGAUGGGUAAGGCCUACCAAGGAGACUGCUCUGAUGCCUCCAGUCAGGAGGAAGAUUUAGAGUCGUAUGCUCAGGGACACAAGAAAAAGCACGGGACCAAGAGUCCAUGUCAAGGCAGUCUCUCUAGUGCCAAGGGCUCCCAGGGGGACAGUCGGAGAGGGGGCCACACUGCAGAGCUCAACGGUCCAGCAGAGAGGAGGAAGAGCUGUACACUGAGGAGCAGCCAGGAGGCUGAACAGCAUCAGGCCGCUGAGAAGAGAAGCCACGCAGUCGCUAAGACGAAGAGCAGAGGCCUGCCAGCAGACAGGGACAAGGGAAAGGUGAAGGGUGCCGCCUUUGUAGCCAACGGCAGGUUGGUACCAGCUCUGUCACCUCAGAGGAAAGAUGGAGGUUCUGGUCCAGAUACGUUUGGUGAAACAUCAUCAGAAAGCUACAGCUCUCCAUCCAGCCCUCAGCACCGAGGACCAGAGAGCCUGGACAGUGAGGACGACAACAACAAAGAUACCGACAGCCACUCUGAUGACUCCAGCAAAGGUCCGGGCCCUGGCAUGUUCUUUGCCCAUCAGACUGAUCCAACUGCAGCAGGAGCCAUUCCCUCUGUUCACCCCCUGUCUUCCAGCAACCACCAGGCCCAGAUGGAGCCGCUCUGCCCAGAGACCAGCACAGAUUUCCCCCCUCUCUCCUUCAUGCGCUCUCUGCCCUAUGUGCUCCCGAACGGGACUGCUGACUCUCCACUUCCACUGGUCCCUCAUCCCGGCCAAAGCAUCGUCCCCGAUGGGAAGCCCUCGUCUGGGACCCUGAUGAUGCAGAUGCCCCUAGUGCCUCCAGGACCUGGAAUUGUGGGAGACCCGGAGAAGAGGGACAUACUUCCGACCUUUGGGAUAGCACCUAUUGGUCUCCACCCUUCAGGAAGUCCUGCUGUGCAGCCUCUGGUUCAGAGGUUCAAAACACCAAUGUCUCACAGCCAAGGUGGCACUGACGGAGCUUCAGGGAGUGGUUCUGCUCCUGCUGCCCCGCAGGCUUCACACCAAGCUCCUGUGAGAGCCAUCAGUAUCAUGUCUCCUGGCCCCACAUCCUACUCCUCUCCUCUUCAGCAGUCUCUGCCCUGCCAAGAUCCGGCCAGCGUCACCUCGGGCCUGGCCUCCUCUCUGCCACAUGUGGAGACUUCACAUGCCAAGCACCCCGGCUUAACCUUACCAUCUGGCCUGCCUUCUCCCUACACCCUGCCCCCGGUCCCCACCUCUGUCAUGCCUACUGUAGGAGCACCUGCGGCCAGUGGAAUAGCUCCAUCUCCUGGACAUGUACAAGCAGCUGUUCCUCCAGCUGUGCCCACCCACACCCCUGGACCCGCUCCCAGCCCCAGCCCAGCACUUACUCACAGCACCGCACACAGCGACUGUACAUCCUACAGCAACAGCAGCGCUUCCUGUGGAAGUGCUCCUGUUGCCCCGGGCAACCUUGUUAAUCCUCAGCAAACCCAGCCGCAACAGUUGCCCCCCCAGCAGCCAACACCACCACAACAGCCACCACCGCCGCCGCCACCGCAGCAGCAGCAGAUGGGCUGUGGGACCUGUGGCUGUCACAACAACUGCGGUGGCCGAGGCAGCGUCAGUAACAACAACAGCGUCAGUGUCCCCGGCUGCCAGGCACCUUUAUUCUUCUCCCACCAGAUGGCAGCAGCAGCAGCGCGGCAGGUGUUCAGCGUCCAACCGCCUCUCUUCCAGCUCACAAGCCUGUGCAGUAACAGUUACCUCACCCAGGCCCAGCCUCCUCACCAGGCCAACGGCGCUGCCACCCUGCCCCCCUUCUUCCCCAGCGCUCCACCCCCCGCACACCCGUCCCCCUACGGCCCCCUCCACACUCACUCUCACAGUCACGCAGACGUGCCAUCACAUAUGCUGGGCACCCAGGCGGCAGCGGUGGCGGCCGCCGCAGCUGCAAACUACAACCUCCAGCAGCAGAUGGCGCCGGCGGCGUCGUUCUGCCACCGUGUCUACCAGCAUGUGUACCCAAAUCACCUGGGGAUGCUGCCUGCUGCUGCACUGGGGGGAGGUGGAGUCAAUAAGAAGAGUGGCAAUGUGUCCUGUUAUAACUGUGGUGUGAGUGGCCACUACGCUCAGGACUGCAACCAACCCACCAUAGACUCCACACAGCAAGGUAGUGCAGCUACACGGAACAGGGACAAACAGAGGACCCCUUAGUUUUCCUCCCCGAGAACCCCCAAACAGUCUUUGGCAUCAGAUGCCACUUUUCCACUGCACGGCACGUUCCUCUGUACUCACUGUGUUUGGUUUUACAUUGACAAAAGUUAUGGAUAGUACCUGGUACUUUCUUUUUGGUACCACCUCGGUUUAGAUUACAAGAGAGCUGAGCUGAUACUAGAAGGAGGAGUUAAAACACUGUACACAAUUGAUCACUAGUGAUGGCCAAAUGAAGCCUCAUGAAGCAUUUUCUUUAUUUCAUGAGCCCACUAGAUGGCGCUUUUUGUUCAACAAAAGGUUGAAAGCACACUGAAUUGCCAUUCUUUGAGCGUCUCUCUUUAAACCAUGAGCGCCAUCUAGUGGGCUCAGAAAAUAAAGAAAAUGCUUCAUGAGGCUUCAUUUGGCUAUCACUGCUGAUCACUAGUGCAACAUGGGACUUCCUGUACAACCAUGCAAAACAAUCCGCCGAACAAUUGAAGUUGAGUCGAAGUAAAAGGAUUCACUAAGUGUCUCUUUGAGGACGAUGUCGUGGCAGUUUCACACGGCAGCACUGUCACAAUCAGCUCAGAACCCCUCCCACACUGAGGGGGUACGAUCUGGUACCAAAAGUGUGUUGAGCUGAACUUAACAGUGGAAAUUCGGCAAGAGACUCCCAACGUUUUACAUUUUAUAGUUUCAGCUCUGGUGGGUCACCUCAGUCCAGGUUCUAAGUGAGCUGAGGCGAUACUAGAAGGUGGAGUUUAAACACUGCAGACCACUGAUUGGUCAGAGAGAACCGUCAAAAGCUCAGCGCAGGACUUCCUGCGUCCUUCCAUUUUAAAAAAAGCCAAGCUACCAUCUGCGAUGUUUAAAUUCUCUUGACCAAGAUUUUAAAAAAUGGCAGCCUGCAAAACUUCGCUAUACACUAAAUACAUAGUACAAUCAAAUAAGAGCAGACGUUCUGUUUGGUUGCUGAUGAAAGAAUCCAGUGUCACGUUAAGCAUGUCGUAGCAGUUUGACGCUGUGUCACCGUGGCAAUCAGCUGAGAAUCCCGCCUACACUCAGGGGUUACUCUCUGGAAAACAAAAUAGAGAAACGGAGCUGGUACCAAAAGUGAGUCAGGUCAAGUCGAGCCGUGCAGUGGAAAUCAGAAAUCACUGUUUAUCAUUUCGCACCCUUUGGGACAGUCUCGUCCACUCUGUGUGGGGCGGUGUCGGAUGAUUCCCUUGGAAAAGUUUAGGGAAGCAGCUGUGUGCAGCACUUAGGGGAACUUCCUCCUUUAAAUCUGUUUUUUUUAAAACACACACAUAUGAAAACACUUCUGAUAAAUCUGACUUAGUGUUCUGAGUGCAGUGUCUCCUUUGCCUUAUUUUGGUGUGCCAAGCUGUAAUGUGUGUGUUACUGCCCCCUGUGGCUGACGGCUGUAAGACACCCACUGCAAAUGUUUUUUGGGACAUUUUUUUCUGCCUCCGCCACAAGUCAGUCCCUCCAGGAUUCCACUUUUCUUUUUUUUUCAUGGCCUAAAAUGCCAAAUUUCAUUUUAGCUUUUUUUUUUUAAUUGCAAUGUUUUUAGUCUAUUUAUUAUUUUCAUUAUUUUUGCAAUGAAACAGCAGAAGCAUGUGGAAAUAACACAAAUAGUUGGGUGUUUUCGCCACUAACCCUGCACAUAUUUAUAUAUUUUGAAACUCACUUGAUUCUUUCAGCAUGUGCGAUAGACCUGGAUACAACAGCCUCAAUCAUGCUGAUUUCUCUCAUCUGUCGAGUGUGUUUUGCAGCAGUUAAGUGUUUGUCAAUUGAUGUCGUUUGUGUUUCACCACAAAGCACCCGGUGUAAAUCUGUUUACCUCUGCUCUUGUGCAGAACAUUAAGGAAUUGCCUUGUAUGGUCUUCAGGAGUAAGCUUUGUUGGCAAGUGUGUAACGUUCAUGUGGCAGGAGUCAUCUUCACAACCACAUAACGAGGAAGUGAGUUUGGUGACGUUAUUCGGGGAACGGCUAUGAUUGGUGAAACUCAAGUUGCACAGAAUUCACAGGGAUUGGUUGAAUUUGUGUUAAUCAUUGCGACUGUGACAUCACAACAUCCUGGAGGGGCUGAUAAGUGGCGGCAGUGCUUGGACUAGUGACACCAAGACGGACCACCUGCACAGCUGCUUCUCUAAGCUUCUCUAUGGGAAGCACGUGUCCCACACGGUGGCUGACACAGUCCCAGUGUUACUACUUAACUUUGCACAUGCAGGUCAAAACUGUCGCUGAAAUGAAGUAAAGGCAAACCACUGGAAGCCAGGACGGUACGAAACACUCGGCACACGGUUUAAGGUGGCUUCCGGUUAAAGUACGCAGCCUCCCACAUUUCAGAAGCACUUGACAAUGCCGACUGAAGAAGAAGAAGAGAGGAUGAAGAGGAGUUCCUCCGGUCUUGUUUCCACAGCGACGGUCAUCUGUUCUUCCAGGCGCUGUGUGCGAGCAGUGCACUUCAGGAAAAAAGAAAAAAAAAAUCUCAAAAAGAAAGUGACCUGCCAAGGGCUCAGUGGACAAAGCCUAAGUACUUGUGCCUGAGAAAAUCUUGUUCCCAUGGAGAUGAUUCACUGUCUCGUGCACACCGACGGUCCACGUGACUCCCGCUCCCUUCCCUUUUAGUUUGUCUUUGAUAUUUUUGCACUGAGGGGUUGGAAACGAUUAACUUAUUACCUAAUUAUUAGAAAGAGAUUUUGAGGAUUUUGUUUUUACAUGACGGUGGAGACUCGUCUCAGCUGAAAAAAAAAAAGUUCUUAUACACUUCUUUCUAAAACAGCGUAUUUAUGCUUUUUUCCUCAUUAUUACUGUUCACCUAGGAUUUUACUGUCGGACAGAGUUGUACAGCAGUUUUCAACGUUUAAAUCAGAAAUCAAAAAAGUAAUGUUAGCAAAAUGAGUUUUAUGUUUUUCAUUUUCAGUUUUGUUGUAAGGGUUUUGAAUGUACACCUUCUCAUUUAAGGAAUGUGACUGUAUCAAAGUGUAUGGAUCUCAUGCAUUUUUACCACUUGAUAUAUGUUGUGGUUGGAAGGUAAUUGCUGCUUUGUAAUGUUAUUAUUAUUUUCAUUUUUAAGAUAGUUUUACUUGGUGAAAUGCACUAAAGCGACGCAGGAACACAAGUGCACUAAAACAGUUUGCACCACAGCCGAGCAGGUGUGAGGAUUUAUUCAUUUUGUACUCUACAAAUUAAGACAGCAAAACUAAUUGGCUGAUACAGCAUUCACUGUUUUAGUGUGCUUUAGUAUUUCAGGUGUGAAGCAGCUUUUUCUGUUAACACCACAGAGAGGGAGAGAUCUCUGUGUUUUAAAACUACAGAUAGAAAUACAGCAGAAGAGAAACUCAUUCUUGUCUCAUCUCAGUCAGCGAGACAUCCACUACCUGUACAGUUUGGUAUUGCUGGGUGCUGUCUCCAGGAGCCUCUAGAGAGGAUUUAGACAGUUUAGUACCAAAAUGUCAGCUGUUGCUUUCGUCAGUGUUUAGCACACAACUCUGCAGAGCAAGCGUCAAACUAGUGUGGAUUCAUUUAUGAAGGAUAGACAAACAGAAGCAGACAGCACACUUCAAGUUAUACCAACUGAGUCAUCAAGACAUUUCCAUAGGGAAACACUACUCUCCUACCCUGUUGGUAUAUUAAAGGAACGCUUCAGCUGCAAAAUUAGAAUUUGUAUAUUCAUAACUUACUGCGUUUUAUGUUGGAUUCAUGAAGAAUAGAUUGUUUUUUUCACAUGCCUCCACCGUGAACGGAGAAUCCAAAAAAUUCUUUAUGAACUGAAGUCAUUGGGGUCCAUGUUUAUCAACAGCGAAACUAUUUUAAACGUUGUUUACAAACUCUCACACGACUCGUGCAGUAUAAUCUUAAGUCUUGUUUAUCCUGUCGUGGGCUCAGUGCUUCCCAAACACAUGUAUUUUAACUAAAACGUUAGCCACUCAAGUGUUUUAUAUUGGAAUGUUUUAACGUUUAGGAGGUACUGAGCAUACAACAGGAUAAAUGAGAUUUGGAUUAUACUUCACGAGUUGUGUAAGUGUUUGUAAACUACUAUUUGAGAUAGGUUAGCCAUGCUCAGUACUUCCCAGACACAGGUAUUUUAGCUAAAACGUUACCUGCUUUAAGCUCGUUAAUGCUCAGCGUGCGCUACUUGUAGGGGGAAGUGUUCUAUAUUGGAACAUUUUAGCCAAAAUGUAUGUGUUUAGGAAGUACCGAGCACAUGACAGGAUAAAUGAGAUUUGGAUUCUACUACACAAGUUAUGUAAACUGAUGUUUCCAUAGAACGUCAUCCCCAUUUGCAUGAGUUCAAGAAGAAUGUUAGCCUUUUUGGAUUCUCCGUUCACCGCGGAGGCCUGAGAGAAAAAUGUUUUCUUCAUGAUAUUCAACGUGAAACAAAGUUUGUAAUGAAUAUACAGAUGGUCAUUUUGUGGUUCAAGUAUUCUUUAACUACAAAGUAAAGUGUGUUUUAUAUUUGUACGUUGGAUCACAUCUUUAAGAGCCUGUGUAAGAGCCCACGCUAUACAGCCGCGGGCAAUAACUGACUGUUUCUGUACUUGUUAAUUUAAUGAAUAAAUCUAGUAUGGAUUUUCUUUA